UGCACUUUCAGCUGAUAAAGGGGCAGCCUUGUCUCUGAACUGGAGAGACAUGCAUCUAUCUGAUGGGAGCACCACUUGGUGAAUUAGGAAUUGGCUGGAUGGUCACACUCCAGUUUGGACCCAAUGUCCAAGCGGAGAGCGGCGAUGAGUGGCAUUCCUCACGGGGGAAUGAGCAAGCAGCUGUGAUGUGGUUUCUGGCUGGAGUUGAACCAUGACAGGAAGGCAAAACCAAAGACAGGCUUACUUCAGUGUACAUCUCAACGUCCUUUAG